rnacentral:misc_RNA from 1 species
AACGCACAUUGCGCCUGGUGGUAUUCCGCCGGGCAUGCCUGUUCGAGCGUCAGUACAACACUCAAGCUCAGCUUGGUCUUGAGCCCAGUGGGAAACCAUAGGCUUUAAAAUCAGUGGCGGCGCCAUCUGGCUCUCAGCGUAGUAAUACUCCUCGCUGUUGAGUUCCAGGUGGAUGCUGGCCAGCAACCCUCAACUUUUUUAAGUUUGACCUCGGAUCAGGUAGGGAUACCCGCUGAACUUAA